rnacentral:rRNA from 1 species
UACAGAGGGUGCGAGCGUUAAUCGGAAUUACUGGGCGUAAAGCGCGCGUAGGCGGCUUUGCAAGUCGAUUGUGAAAUCCCCAGGCUUAACCUGGGAACUGCAUUCGAGACUGCAUAGCUAGGGUAUGGGAGAGGGAAGUGGAAUUUCAGGUGUAGCGGUGAAAUGCGUAGAUAUCUGAAGGAACAUCAGUGGCGAAAGCGACUUCCUGGACCAAUACUGACGCUCAUGUGCGAAAGCGUGGGGAGCAAACAGG